rnacentral:rRNA from 1 species
AUGGAUGUUUUCCGACUGGAGUCUCGUGUUGCAGCUGUCGUGGACUAUCUCGCAAGGCUGAAGGCUGCCACAUCUCGCAUCGACUCGACGCUCUGGCCUGAGGAGACACUUCAAAAUGACCUUGAGUCGCUGAUGGCCCGCUUGAACACGAUCCCUGGUCGAGUGCAGGAGUGGAAGAAGUCCUCGGCUCGGUGUGGUGCAGAUGUCGCUCUGUGUCUGGCCCGAGUCCACUGCAAAGAUGCGCGAGAGGAGAAGCUGGCGGCCCUUCGGGUGGCCAAUACCAAGAAGCACGACUUCAGGUCCUUUAUGGAGACUUUCCUUGCAGCUGCCACUCGGAUCGCCGACGGAAUUGACCUUGAUGAAUUUGUUGCACCUUCCAGCCCUCCACAGGAGGGGUAA